GGCCUAACACAUGCAAGUCGAGCGGUAGCACAGGGAGCUUGCUCCUGGGUGACGAGCGGCGGACGGGUGAGUAAUGCCUAGGAAUCUGCCUGGUAGUGGGGGACAACGUUUCGAAAGGAACGCUAAUACCGCAUACGUCCUACGGGAGAAAGCAGGGGACCUUCGGGCCUUGCGCUAUCAGAUGAGCCUAGGUCGGAUUAGCUAGUUGGUGAGGUAAUGGCUCACCAAGGCGACGAUCCGUAACUGGUCUGAGAGGAUGAUCAGUCACACUGGAACUGAGACACGGUCCAGACUCCUACGGGAGGCAGCAGUGGGGAAUAUUGGACAAUGGGCGAAAGCCUGAUCCAGCCAUGCCGCGUGUGUGAAGAAGGUCUUCGGAUUGUAAAGCACUUUAAGUUGGGAGGAAGGGCAGUAAGCGAAUACCUUGCUGCUUUGACGUUACCGACAGAA
rnacentral:rRNA from 1 species